UAGGGCCGUCGCCACCGCGGCGAUCGCUUGCUGCGCCGUUGAUCCUCCGCCGAUUGUUCCAUUGGCGCAGCCUUUGUACACCAAGCUGUAGAGAUCUACGGCCAUGGCGAUCGAGGGUUAGGGUUAGGGUUUCAUUGAUUCUGAUGCUGGUUUCGUCGGUGGUGGAGUAGUUCUCCUUGACUCGCUGUUCUAAGGUUUUUGUAUGUUAUCUCUAGAUCUUUUCUUCAUUCCAUUUUAAUUCAUUUGUGUUCCUUGUCUUCAUGUUUCUAGGGUUAGGGUUAAGGUUCAUUGAUUCUAGGUAUCAAAUGCUGUUAGGAGAUGAAGGUGGUGGAGAAGCUCUUGCUGAUGACUCUCCGUUACAAGAGUUGUGCACAAGUUUCGAUGAAAUAAGUGGAGGAUGAGUGAUAAGAUUCAUAUGGAUGAC